rnacentral:pre_miRNA from 1 species
GACACAAAGACGACAGGACGGGCGCUAACUCACAACUGAUGAAAAUCAGUUGUGAGUUAGCGCCCGUCCUGUCGUCUUUGUGUCUAU